rnacentral:lncRNA from 1 species
GAUGGAGGAGUGGAACGAAGACCUGGAUGGCAUGGAGGGCUUCGUGCUGGAGGGCCGGAAGUUCACUCGACUGGCAGAGGAGGAGUUUGGCCACUUCUACACACAGGACUGCUAUGUCUUCCUCUGCAGGUACUGGGUGCCUGUGGAGUACGAGGAGGAAGAGAAGCCAGAAGACAAGGAAGGGAAGGCCUCGGCAGAGGGCAGAGAAGAGGAGGAAGCAGCAGCUGAGACAGAGGAGAAGCAGCCAGAGGAGGAUUUUCAGUGCAUCGUUUACUUCUGGCAGGGCCGGGAGGCCUCCAACAUGGGCUGGCUUACCUUCACAUUCAGUCUGCAGAAGAAGUUCGAGAGCCUUUUCCCUGGCAAGCUAGAGGUAGUACGCAUGACACAACAACAGGAGAACCCUAAGUUUCUAUCCCACUUCAAAAGAAAGUUCAUCAUCCACCGGGGCAAGAGGAAGGUGACCCAGACUCUCCAGCCGACCCUCUAUCAGAUCCGGACUAAUGGCAGUGCCCUCUGCACCCGGUAGGUACCUGGCCUGGGGAGGGAGCAGGAUCCCAUGGUGGGGGUAACACUGCUGAUUCCCCUUCCCCCAGGUGCAUUCAGAUCAACACUGACUCCAGUCUUCUCAACUCUGAGUUCUGCUUCAUCCUCAAGGUGAGGCUGUGGGCAGGACAGCAGAGCAGUGUGGUGGGCAAGAGCUGAGCUGACCAAGCCCUGUGCAUGCCUAGGUCCCCUUUGAAAGCGAGGACAACCAAGGCAUCGUGUAUGCCUGGGUAGGCCGGGCAUCAGACCCUGACGAAGCCAAGCUGGCAGAGGACAUCCUGAACACCAUGUUUGACCCCUCCUACAGCAAACAGGUGACCGAGGGGCGGGCAGGCGGGCAGGCGAGAACAGAGGAGGGCCCUGGCUGACCAGCCCUUCUCACAGGUCAUCAACGAGGGUGAGGAGCCAGAGAACUUCUUCUGGGUAGGCAUCGGUGCACAGAAACCCUAUGACGAUGACGCAGAGUACAUGAAGCACACGAGGCUCUUCAGGUGCUCCAAUGAGAAGGGCUACUUCGCAGUGACUGAGAAAUGCUCUGACUUUUGCCAAGAUGACCUGGCAGACGAUGACAUCAUGCUGCUAGACAAUGGCCAAGAAGUGAGACACCCCCCACCUCAGACCCUGCAUACUGUUUUAAAAUGAGAGGUUGGAGCUGGGAAUACUGGGGCCAGCAGGAAGUUUCCCACCAGCCACAUGCGGAGUGCUUGUGCAUCACAUCUAAAGACCCUAGGCUCAACUUUUAGCACUAUGAACACCAAAAGGGCCAAGAAACCCAUGUGACGAUUUCAUCUUCUCUACCCUCAGGUGUACAUGUGGGUUGGGACUCAGACAAGCCAAGUGGAGAUCAAACUGAGUCUGAAGGCUUGCCAGGUAUACAUCCAGCACACACGCUCUAAAGAACAUGAGCGGCCACGCCGCCUGCGCCUGGUCCGCAAAGGUAACGAACAACGUGCCUUCACCCGCUGCUUCCAUGCCUGGAGCACGUUCCGUCAAGCCCCAGCCUAGGCAGUACCUGUGACCCCAGAUCCAGUGAGGAGGAAGAGGCCUCCUAGUACCUGCUUCAUCUACUCACAUCCUGCAAGCAGCACACAGCCCAAAGCCCUACCAGUGUGUCCACGUAUGUGCAGAAGUAGUUUAAAAGAUAUUAAAUGCUUUUAUUUUCAAUAUUAAAAAAUCAGUACUUUUAAUAUU